rnacentral:snoRNA from 1 species
AGUUCCAUGAGGAACAAAAUCUCAAGUUUCAAGCAAAGAGCCACGGAGUCAUUCUUUAAAGCGUUAGAACGUUUCAAGGAGUACACUAGGGAUUGUCUUAACCAUGAUUU